GAUGAACGCUGGCGGCGUGCCUAAUACAUGCAAGUCGAGCGAACGGACGAGGAGCUUGCUUCUCUGACGUUAGCGGCGGACGGGUGAGUAACACGUGGAUAACCUACCUAUAAGACUGGGAUAACUUCGGGAAACCGGAGCUAAUACCGGAUAAUAUAUUGAACCGCAUGGUUCAAUAGUGAAAGACGGUUUUGCUGUCACUUAUAGAUGGAUCCGCGCUGCAUUAGCUAGUUGGUAAGGUAACGGCUUACCAAGGCAACGAUGCGUAGCCGACCUGAGAGGGUGAUCGGCCACACUGGAACUGAGACACGGUCCAGACUCCUACGGGAGGCAGCAGUAGGGAAUCUUCCGCAAUGGGCGAAAGCCUGACGGAGCAACGCCGCGUGAGUGAUGAAGGUCUUCGGAUCGUAAAACUCUGUUAUUAGGGAAGAACAAAUGUGUAAGUAACUAUGCACGUCUUGACGGUACCUAAUCAGAAAGCCACGGCUAACUACGUG
rnacentral:rRNA from 1 species